rnacentral:lncRNA from 1 species
UUUCAUGGAUCUUCUCUUGGAUCUUCUCUUGUGCCAAACCAAAUUUGCAGUCCAUCCUCGUACUUUUCCCUUAUUGUGCUUAGUCUGUUUUGCACAGUAGAUCUAUUAGAGUAUAGGUUUACAUUGGUUUAAUCUGGUUAUAUAAUUGUAUACGGUAUGUUAUAAACUGUAACAGAAACACUCGAGUAUAAAUAAAUAGAGUGUAGUUGUAAUCAGAUCAUUAUCAUCAAUAACAAUUUUUUUCUUCGUCUUCUUCCUCUGAUCAUGAUUCACAAACAUGGUAUUAGAGUUUUGAGGCUCAAACCUCAAAUAGAUUCUGCAAACUUCGUUUUCCGUCUUUCGUUUUGACCUAGGAUUGAUCGUUGGGUUCCCCGAUCGAUUCAAUUCUUCGAUUUGCGAUAUAUUCUUCUGGUUAUUCCGCCAAGAAUCACAAAUUUCGCAAUCUAUCUUCAUUUUGAGAUGAUAAAUAACAGAUCUACUUGUCGCGCAGGAAGAAUUGCAGCUGUAUUUCGCCGCACUUCAGUUCUGAGAGAUUCUCAACCAGCUUCACCGGAUUCAACAAAUUUCCUGAAUCCCCUAACGGAUACAAUCGACAGGAUCCACUCUCUGUUUCAUUUGACGAGGGGUGAUAAUCCAGGCCUAUUGAUUAUAUCUGAGGUACUCAAAGGUCUUAACUAUGAUAUAAUUGGCGUAUUGCAAUGAACAUAGCUUUGGAUGCGAAGAACAAAUUAGCUUUUAUUGAUGGAUCUAUAGCUAGGCCGAGUGAUUCACUAACAAGAUCAAUACGAUCUAUCUUUUUGAGUAAUUCGUCACUUGGGAGAUGCUCCUCUCCAUGCCUCCGACAUAGUUGUCUUGUUAUGAUAGAAAGUGUUGAUAGCCUCCAAUAGGUUGACGUUAAGACUGUCUCUAAUUUAGCUAUACAUGUGCUUGUUUGAAAGCAGCAACUUGAGGUUGCUUCUUGAUUGUGACGGACAAGAUCUAUAAGCACAUGCACCUCAGAUUCAUUCUUAUUGUUGUCAUCUUUGGCAGAUCUUGUGGGAGAUUGACAUUGUCAGGGCCAGAUUCAUUCUUAUUGUUGUUUUCGCCAACAGUUGAGGUUCAACUUCUCAUCUAAGACAGUUACUUGCGCAUCAAGAAACCGGUUGUUUGCUGUUUUGGCUUCGAAUCUGUGAUCCUGCUUGCGUCUGUUCGAGACCAGUUGAAGUUAAUCAUCAUGGGACGAUCCAGUUUCAGGGACUUUAAGAAUUUAAUAAAAAUAUUCAAUUUCGCAUAUAAAUAGGUUUCGGAGGCACAACCAAAAUCUUUGAAGCAGCCAAGAAAUAUCUCGAACUAGUUUAUCAAAGGUGGCUGCUGAAACAUAACAUCUAACAUGAAAAUUAACAUUAGAAACAUCUCAAAAUGAUACAAAGAAGGAUAGAGAUUCUUCGCCAACAGUUGAGGUUCAACUUCUCAUCUAAGACAGUUAUGUGUUGUAACUACGUUACUUGCGCGUUAAGAAACCGGUUGUUUGCUGUUUUGGCUUCGAAUCUGUGAUCCUGCUUGCGUCUGUUCGAUAUAGAAUUUAGAACUUAAAUCAAAA